rnacentral:rRNA from 1 species
GAUGAACGCUGGCGGCGCGCCUAACACAUGCGAGUCGAACGGUUAAAGCACCUUUUAGGUGUGUAUAAAGUGGCGAACGGCUGAGUAACACGUGGGCAACCUGCCCUCCUCUUGGGGAUAGCCUCGGGAAACCGAGGAUAAUACCCGAUACUUCAAUGUGGCCGCAUGACGACAUUGAGAAAGCUUUUGCGGAGAAGGAUGGGCCCGCGGCCUGUUAGCUUGUUGGUGGGGUAGAGGCCUACCAAGGCAAUGAUGGGUAGCUGGGUUGAGAGACCGACCAGCCAGAUUGGGACUGAGACACGGCCCAGACUCCUACGGGAGGCAGCAGUGGGGAAUCUUGCACAAUGGGCGAAAGCCUGAUGCAGCGACGCCGCGUGCGGGACGAAGGCCUUCGGGUUGUAAACCGCUUUCAGCAGGGACGAGGCGAUAAGUGACGGUACCUGCAGAAGAAGCCCCGGCUAACUACGUG